rnacentral:rRNA from 1 species
GCUUGCUCCCAAAGGUUAGCGGCGGACGGGUGAGUAACACGUGGGCAACCUGCCUGUAAGACUGGGAUAACUUCGGGAAACCGGAGCUAAUACCGGAUAAUAUAAGAGACCACAUGGUCUCCUAUUAAAAGAUGGCUUUUCGCUAUCACUUACAGAUGGGCCCGCGGCGCAUUAGCUAGUUGGUGAGGUAACGGCUCACCAAGGCGACGAUGCGUAGCCGACCUGAGAGGGUGAUCGGCCACACUGGGACUGAGACACGGCCCAGACUCCUACGGGAGGCAGCAGUAGGGAAUCUUCCGCAAUGGACGAAAGUCUGACGGAGCAACGCCGCGUGAGCGAAGAAGGUCUUCGGAUCGUAAAGCUCUGUUGUUAGGGAAGAACAAGUAUCGUUCGAAUAGGGCGGUACCUUGACGGUACCUAACCAGAAAGCCACGGCUAACUACGUGCCAGCAGCCGCGGUAAUACGUAGGUGGCAAGCGUUAUCCGGAAUUAUUGGGCGUAAAGCGCGCGCAGGCGGUCCUUUAAGUCUGAUGUGAAAGCCCACGGCUCAACCGUGGAGGGUCAUUGGAAACUGGGGGACUUGAGUGCAGAAGAGGAGAGCGGAAUUCCACGUGUAGCGGUGAAAUGCGUAGAGAUGUGGAGGAACACCAGUGGCGAAGGCGGCUCUCUGGUCUGUAACUGACGCUGAGGCGCGAAAGCGUGGGGAGCGAACAGGAUUAGAUACCCUGGUAGUCCACGCCGUAAACGAUGAGUGCUAAGUGUU